UACAGAGGGUGCAAGCGUUAAUCGGAAUUACUGGGCGUAAAGCGUGCGUAGGUGGUUCUUUAAGUCAGAUGUGAAAUCCCCGGGCUCAACCCGGGAACUGCGCCCGAUACUGGAAGGCUUGAAUUCGGGAGAGGGAUGCGGAAUUCCAGGUGUAGCGGUGAAAUGCGUAGAUAUCUGGAGGAACACCGGUGGCGAAGGCGGCAUCCUGGACCGGCAUUGACGCUGAGGCGCGAAAGCCAGGGGAGCAAACGGG
rnacentral:rRNA from 1 species